rnacentral:lncRNA from 1 species
UCUGCCUCCCGAGAGCUGGGAUUAAAGGGCUCAUCUAAAUCCCUCACUAUUAUGGAGAACUCUGUUCUGAUCUACAAGACCACAGGUUACAUUUCCUAUGUGGGAAGUGUGUCCUGUGUUCAGGGCCAGGAACCUGGUAAGGAACAGGGGGCCACCUACCAUCUCAAGUGGGUGCCUGGGUGCUGGAAACUCCGAACCUACUCAACCUUACCAAGUUUUCUGGCAUGGUCCAUUGUCCCACACACUAGGAGGAUAAUGAGGCAGGUGGGCCUCUGAGUUUGAGGCCAGCCUGGUUGACAGAGUAAGUUCCAGGACAGCCAGGGCUACACAGAGAAACCCUGUCUCAAAAAACCAAAAAAAUAAAAAAAGAAAGAAAGAAAAUGUGAAUGGUGUAGUGAAUGUGAUUCAAAGUCCUAUUGGCUUCCUGUAUUUGUCAAUAACGUUAUAUUGUAGCACAGUCCUGUUCAUUUGUUUGUGUAACGCCAGUGCCUGCUUUGUCCUCAACAGUGGAGUUUAGUAGAGCACAUAUGAUCAACCAAAAUCAAAACAGCCCCAAUUUCAGUAUUUGAUCUUUUACAAGAUUUAGCAAACUAUCCCCAAACUACAUCAAAGACUGUGAGUUCAAUGCUAGCUCUGUGAUAUCCUGCUGUGUGAUUUAAGAUGAGUUAUCUACUUCUCUGUUCCUUAGUUUUUCCAGCUAUAGAUAAAUGUGGUAAUAUCUGUCUCUAAAGGGUCCUAAGGAUAAAGAGGUAAUACCUGUUUCUAAAAGAUCCUAAGGAUAAAGACCCCAGCAUGUGAAGACCCCAGCCCAGGAGUAGACUAAAGAGCAGAACUGAUUAACAACCCGGGACAAACUAACUCCACACCAAAGAUGUUAAAGUAAGAGGAACUUAUAAUUAAGAAGAAAAUAAUGGUAACUACAGACCUGACUCAAAUCCACAAAGCUGAGAGUCCUUUCUCAGCACCUUUCCAAAGGCCCACAAGGAUGGCAAGGAUUCUAUUUGCAUAUGGGGCGUGGCAAAUGGGAGUGAGCAAACCCUGACAGGAACUGUACCGAGUCAUUUAAGAAAACAAAAUAGAUUCUUGGUAAGCUUAGGCCGUACACUAAGUUUAGUUUAUUAACAACACAUUUAGUAGCUCUUAAUCACUCAUUUGGGGGACUGGAGAGAUGGUACAGUGUCUAAGAGGGAUUGCUGCUCUUCUAGAGGUUCUGAUUUCUAUUCCUAGUACCUACGCUAGGCAACACAUCCCUACUGGUGACUCGUACUUCCAGGAGAGCCAAUGCUAUCUAUCGUCUGGCCUCUGCAGGCAACUGCAUGCUCGUGGCAUGCACUUACACAGAUACCUGC